ensembl:lncRNA
CCGCCGGCUGCCGCCCCUCCGUGCCGGGGCGUCCCUCCUGCCGACCCCGUUUCUCCCCGGAGAACUAUUUUUAGCUUCCUGACGCGGCAGCUCGGCUUUGCAGCCACCAAGCCCGAGGCAGCCAGGCGCGCCAUCCCAGGGAGCGACAGGGAUCGGCUAGGGGGCUGCGGUCUGGAGGAGGGGCCCUUGUCAAGAACCUCAAAAGCUGAAUCCUUUCCCCAGAGGACAUCAUUGAGGAUCACUUGGGCCAGAGAAGCGUCACCGCAGCGGGCGAUCCAGGCCCAAGCCCCUCACCCACCCGGGAGGAGCCCGGCGGUGUAAACAGGCCUAGGGGUCCCCACUGGGAUUGGAGAGCCAAGCAUCAGCGGGGCGUGUCCCCCGCCGUCCCCACUGGCUUAGCCGGAGGAUGCAAACGCGCCUGGGAGUUUUCACUUCAAUGGAGGCAAACGGGGAUGCGUGUGUCAGUGUGUGUGCGAUAUACAUAUCACGGGCAAGUGUCUGACCUGAAAGUGUCCGCGACCAACUUGAAUUAAAUCCCUGGGGGUUGUUUGCAGAGACCCGGAGGAGGAAGUUGCCAAGGCCGACUUGGUGACCUGACUUGGUAGGGCCAAAGUUAGAAAAAACCAAACCCCUGUAGGACGUUGAGGCGGUCCAGGUCCAGGCUGCAGAGUGCCCACGCUCACAUCUGCCCCCACCUGGGGGGCAGGGAGCGGGGCCCAAGUGUCCCGGGAAAAGGCGGGAGCAGGGGGCGCAGGCUUAGAUGCGCGGGUUUCGGGCCGGCAGCUCGGCGCGCGUGGCGGUGGUGCGCGCCUCCGCCCUGCGCGGUCCCCGGGCAGCCCUAGCUGGGUCCUGAGCGUCCGGAGCGUGUUCCGGGAAGGUGACUCAGCGACGCGCUCAAGGGUCGAGAAACCCCGCGAAACUAGGGACAAGAGGAGGGAGCUGGGGUGUCGUCACCCUCUCGCAGCGCUGCGUGUCCGCCGAGGUCUGGUCUUGAACCUCCGGGUCCCCCACCCCCUAGGAACCCGGCGCGGGGAGCGGAGGGCUGUGUUCAGCCGCAGUGCUGUGGUCACGCGACGCGGGGACGCGAGCGGCGGCGGGAGACGGAGGCUCGGUGCGGCAGCCGGGCUCCAGAUCCCACCCCUCCUCUCUUUCCCUAUCCUCCAGCGAGAAGUCUGGGCUUUGGCUCCUAGAAGACGGGGGACGUGGAGCAGUGCUCUCCGAAAUCUCAGGUUUGGGGGGAGGUGGCUGCGGAGACGGCCAAGGCAGCUUCCUCCUUCUUCUCCCCCGCUCAGGAGGGACCCUUCCAUCAGGCCUGAAAAGCUGCCGUCUUAAACCUUGGAGUCUGAUGGGAAACUGAGGCACAGGGAAGGGAACGCCUGGCUGUGCAUGAGUCCGUGAGAAUGAAAGCAUGCAUUCACCGGGCCUGGCCCCAGCUCUCUGGAAACUUGGAGCCAAGGCCACCAGACGGCAAAUGACUUGUUUUUAUUGGGAGACGAUGCCUGCCAUCUCACCCGUCCCUGAAGCUACCUUCCUGGGAGGUUUCGGCUCCGAAGAACCGCGAUCAGUUUGGUUCUGCACACAGAAGUCCUUAAGAAACGCUUGUGGGCUGACCUCUCCCAAC